CACGUAGGCGGACCGGAAAGUUGGAGGUGAAAUCCCAGGGCUCAACCUUGGAACCGCCUUCAAAACUAUCGGUCUGGAGUUCGAGAGAGGUGAGUGGAAUUCCGAGUGUAGAGGUGAAAUUCGUAGAUAUUCGGAGGAACACCAGUGGCGAAGGCAGGUCUCUGGGCCGUCACUGACGCUGAGGAGCGAAAGCGUGGGGAGCGAACA
rnacentral:rRNA from 1 species